UCUACUUCAGUAAAAUGAUUCAGUAAAAAAAACACUUUUUUUAUUAAUAGAGAAAAUCCUGCUAGCACAGUACCCAAUGGGGUCUCCAGGGAUGAGACAAAAAUCCUGAGUCUGCUGCAUGGUUUGCGGUUGUGUCAGGAUGCCUGGGCUCCCAAGAGCCCCUGGGACAGUCAUGCGGCACAUGCCGCUCUGUGGGGCAGACCUGCUGGGAGUUUCUUGGUGGUCCAAGACUCUUCAUCUCAAGACCAACUUCUGUGUGUGUCUGUAGGGGACAGAGGGGAGCCGGUCAAAGAAUUCCCCAUCUUAACCGCUGGAACAGCUCUUCGCCUGACGGCAUCACACCUGGCUUUCCCUGAUCUCUGUCAACUGCU
rnacentral:lncRNA from 1 species